rnacentral:lncRNA from 1 species
UUUUUCCCCCAGGACUCCCAAAAUCCCCAAAUUUUCCUCCCAGCACCCCCAAAACCCCAAAUUUUCCCCCCAGGACCCCCUAAAAUCCCAAAUUUUUCCCCCCAGCACCCCCCAAAAUCCCCAAUUUUUUUUUCCAGGACCCCCAAAACCCCCAAUUUUCCCCCAAAUUUUCCCCCUUCAGGGCGCUCACCUGGCCUUGAUCGAUUCCCUCAUGGCCGCCUUCGUCGCCGAGGCCACUCGGAAUUUGGGGGCUCCCCCAGGAGCCCCCCCAGGACCCCAAAAUUGGGAACCCAAAAUUUUGGGUUGGUUGGACACCGUGAAUCGGAAGCUGCAGGAAAGCACGGAAAAAGAGGGGGGGGCGACACCCCCAAAUUCGGGGGUCCCCGAGACCUCCGCAGCCCCCCCAGCUUGCGCCCACAAGUGUCCCACCCGCUGGUACUGGAAGUUGGUGCCCGUAAGUGGGGGCUUUUCUCUGUCCCAAAAUCCGCUUUUUUCACCCCAAAAAUUCACCCCUGCCUGCUCAAUCCCAUCCCAAAUAUUUUGGGGGGGUGGGAGUGGAAAAAUCCCCCCCAAAAAAUUUGUUUGGAAUGGGUUUUUCCGUCUUAAAAUCGGGAGUUUGGAGGGAUGAUGGGGGAAAAAAAAUGGGGAGAAACGGAGGAAAAAUGGGAAAAUAAAUUGGGGAAAAAAUGGGAGAAAUUGGGAAAA